AUCAAUGGUGGGCUGGGCGGAGGCGUCGCAAGACGCGCCAGUAGCCACUUAGGCUGGUAGACCAACUCCGUUCAGUUCACCACCAGA
rnacentral:antisense_RNA from 1 species